AGUGAGGAAUAUUGGUCAAUGGACGAGAGUCUGAACCAGCCAAAUCGCGUGAAGGAAGACUGCCCUACGGGUUGUAAACUUCUUUUGUACAGGAAUAAAAGAAUCUACGUGUAGAUUAUUGCAUGUACUGUACGAAUAAGCAUCGGCUAACUCCGUGCCAGCAGCCGCGGUAAUACGGAGGAUGCGAGCGUUAUCCGGAUUUAUUGGGUUUAAAGGGUGCGCAGGCGGGAUUUUAAGUCAGCGGUGAAAUUUUCAGGCUCAACCUGAACACUGCCGUUGAAACUGGGAUUCUUGAGUAUGGAUGAAGUAGGCGGAAUUCGUUGUGUAGCGGUGACAUGCUUAGAUAUAACGAGGAACUCCGAUUGCGUAGGCAGCUUACUAAGCCAUAACUGACGCUCAAGCACGAAAGCGUGGGGAUCAAACAGGAUUAGAUACCCUGGUAGUCCACGCCGUAAACGAUGAUUACUAGUUGUUUGCGAUAUACCGUAAGUGACUAAGCGAAAGCGAUAAGUAAUCCACCUGGGGAGUACGCCGGCAACGGUGAAACUCAAAGGAAUUGACGGGGGCCCGCACAAGCGGAGGAACAUGUGGUUUAAUUCGAUGAUACGCGAGGAACCUUACCCGGGCUUGAAAUGUACCUGACCGUCCUUGAAAAGGGACUUCUAGCAAUAGCAGGUAUGUAGGUGCUGCAUGGUUGUCGUCAGCUCGUGCCGUGAGGUGUCGGCUUAAGUGCCAUAACGAGCGCAACCCACAUUAUUAGUUACUAACAGGUUAAGCUGAGGACUCUAAUAAGACUGCCGUCGUAAGAUGCGAGGAAGGUGUGGAUGACGUCAAAUCAGCACGGCCCUUACGUCCGGGGCGACACACGUGUUACAAUGGGAGGUACAAAGGGCUGCUACCUGGUGACAGGAUGCUAAUCCCCAAAGCCUCUCCCAGUUUGGAUCGGAGUCUGCAACUCGACUCCGUGAAGCUGGAUUCGCUAGUAAUCGCGCAUCAGCCAUGGCGCGGUGAAUACGUUCCCGGGCCUUGUACACACCGCCCGUCAAGCCAUGGGAGCCGGGGGUAUCUGAAGUGCGUAACCGCAAGGAGCGUCCUAGGGUAAAACUGGUGACUGGGGCU
rnacentral:rRNA from 1 species